rnacentral:rRNA from 1 species
AACGAACGCUGGCGGCAGGCUUAACACAUGCAAGUCGAGCGCCCCGCAAGGGGAGCGGCAGACGGGUGAGUAACGCGUGGGGACGUACCUUUUGGUUCGGAACAACUCCGGGUAACUGGAGCUAUUACGGGAUAAGCCCUAACGGGGAAAGGUAUAUCGCCGAAAGAUCGGCGCGCGUCUGAUUAGCUGGUUGGUGGGGUAACGGCUCACCAAGGCGACGAUCAGUAGCUGGGCUGAGAGGAUGAUCAGCCACACUGGGGCUGGGACACGGCCCAGACUCCUACGGGAGGCGGGAGAGGGGAAUAUUGGAAAAUGGGGGCAGGCCUGAACCAGCCAUGCCGGGUAAGUGAUGAAGGCCUUAGGGUUGUGAAGCUCUUUUGUCCGGGAAGAUAAUGACUGUACCGGAAGAAUAAGCCCCGGCUAACUUCGUG